CAGGCAGCACUAAGAUCUGGCCCGGAUACUGGAAGAACCAGCACCUUCCUUCUGCCUCACCUUCAGAGAGCCAUGGUUCAGCCUCUGCUUUCUAAUCUCAGGAGAGGCUGCUGGAGAACUUUACCCAACAGGGGAGAACUGGCCAAGCUGUAGAGGGCUAAUACACCUUUCAGAAAGGUGUGGCUUCCGAGGUCCCUUGCAAGCAACAAUGUAAGUGUUACACCCUUUGAAGGGUAGGAAGGGUCAUUCCCUGACUUGCUGGCCCUGGCAGGCGUUUGGGUCCCUCUUUGACAAGGACACGGGAAGGUCAGGAAUCGGAAGACGUGUGGGAGGGCCCCUGCCUGGGGAGCGGAGCACAUUCUCCCAGGACUGCACACUUGGGCCAGAGCACAUUUUAUGGAGAUUCUGACGGGUCCGGUCAGAACAGCUCUCUGUGUAAACAGCUGGGAAUGAUGGGGUGGGGACAGAGGUCCCAGGAAACCAGCUGGCGCCUGAAGGGCCAGGUGGGGUUCUUCACCCAAUCCGGGGCCCCUGAAGCGACACUCUGGGCUACAGCUCCAUCUGGUGGACAGAGUGCGAGUACCAUGGGCCAGGGCCACCGCAGGCCGAGCGAUGACGCAAGGGGGCCUCGGUCUGCGCUCUGCCUUGCAGGGUCUUUCCUCUCUGUCUGCUACAUGUGUGUUUCCUCGUUCUGAACACAUGCCCUUCUUCAACUGCCGACUCGGCUGCUGUCUGCUUGCAGUGUUUUGAGAUUUCCCCGAUGCUACCAGCUGCUUCUUGCUUUCUAAGCAUGGCAGAGAACAUGAAGCUGAUCAAAACUUGUAGACCUUAAGAAAAGGGCAUUGGAGCCCCUGGAACUGCAGUGACAGAGGGACAAUUGUGAGUUGCCAUGGGAGUGCUGGGAAUCGAACCUGGGUCAUCUGGAAGAAUGUCCUGUGCUUUUCUGGUGCUGCUUCUGAGACAGGGUCUCUCUGGCUGUCUAUGAGGACUCACGGAGAUCUCCUGCUUCUACUAGCAUUAAAGGCGUGUUCCUCCA